AGGAUAACUAAAUCUGGCUUAGUCUAAAUCUGUCUGAGCAAUGAACACAAGGACAAGAAGACCAAUACUUGUACUGAAACAACAUGUUGCUCAUUAUCAUUUGCUAAUCGUGUGUGUGUGUGUGUGUGUGUGUGUGUGUGUGUGUGUGAGUGUGUGUGUGCGCGCGUGCGUGUGUGUGUGUGUGAUUUCAUACCUGUCGUUCCUGAGCCUUGCCUGACCUUCCCUUCCCCGCUCCUAUACAUGGGCA